rfam:Canis lupus familiaris chromosome 32, whole genome shotgun sequence.
GCAUUUGCUUCAGCAGUACAUAUACUAAAAUUGGAGCAAUACAGAGAGGAUAGCAUGGUUCCUGUGCAAAGAUAGACAUGCAAGUUCAUAACGUGUUCCAUAUUUUU